rnacentral:rRNA from 1 species
CGAGAAGCGAACCUGCGAAGGCAAGCGGAUCUCUUAAANCCGUCUCAGUUCGGACUGUAGACUGCAACUCGCCUACACGAAGCUGGAAUCGCUAGUAAUCGCGGAUCAGCACGCCGCGGUGAAUACGUUCCCGGGCCUUGUACACACCGCCCGUCACACCAUGAGAGUCUGUAACACCCAAAGCCGGUGGGAUAACCUUUAUAGGAGUCAGCCGUCUAAGGUAGGACAGAUGAUUAGGGUGAAGUCGUAACAAGGUAAC